GGCUGCACACUUUCAAGAAGCAAGCAGAUGUCCUAUCCAUCUUGUAAUGUGGCUACAUCUGCUGCCCCCACUGCUUCAACUUACUGAAGACAGAACCCCAAAAGGAGAGUUUAUUGUGCACUUUCUGCUCAAUAGUUUCUCAAAAGAAUGAGAUUAAGACAAAUUGCCACCUGGGGAAGCUGAUUUCCAAGAUCAAAGAACUGGAGCCCAGCUGAAAGCUAUUCUAUGCCUGAACUCAAGGAUGCCGAAGUUCCAAGUAGAUAUGACCUUGGAUGUUGACACAGCUGAUGAGCUCCUUGUCAUUUCUGAUGACCUGCAGAGUGUCCAAUGUGGGCAUAUGGAACAGAAGCUGAAAGAACAUGCUGAGAUUUACCUUCAGAGUUUGGGCUCCCCUCAGUUCACUUCCAGUUGCUAUUAUUAGGAGGAAGAUUUGGGAACAAGCACAGAAUCAGACCUAGGAGCUUGCAAAGAAUCUGUUCACCAGCGAGGAGAGAUCAAACUGUCUACAGAACUUGAAUUCUGGACACUGAGUUUGAGAAAGGGAAGGUGCUUCUCAGCCAGCACUGUGCUUCUGAAUGCACUGUGGGUGAAUCCCUGGUUACAUAAAGCAGGGAUUUUGCUGGAUACUGGCAUUACAAACAUUACUUGUUGUUACCUUAGUGAUGGAUCCCAUAUCUUUUGUUUUUUG
rnacentral:lncRNA from 1 species